rnacentral:lncRNA from 1 species
AAAAAGAUCAGGUAAUGUCUCUGUAACACAUCAGGAUCAGGAUGAGGUAACUAGAGAACUCAGUUGCAAAAACACAUGUCACGCACACAUGCACUGAAAAAAAGAAGAAGCCUAAAACUACUAGCUAGGUCUUGUUGCGGUCGUCUUUUCACUUGAAACUAUGACUUCUUCAGCAACUUUUCGAGCUCCUCCUCCGAGCUGAGGGUGUUUUGCGGAUGUUUGAAAAGCUUUGCUGCGAUGUACUUGCGGAAGUUGAGCAACGAGGUUGUGUCCUGAUCAUACACGGCAACAAAAGAAAAAAAC